ACAUAUAGCCCUGGCAAUAUUUUGCAGUUCAAGAUCUCGUUUCGAAGUUGCUGUCUUCUCAAGAUAUGAUUUAUUGUUAUAUAAAACCCACAUCAACAAAUGAACGCAUCUGAUGUGGAGUUAUAACACCUGAAUUUGCUUUAGCGUAGGCUACAUGUCACAGAAUUUACGAAGAAAAAGCAGGUCCGUGACCAGCAGACGAAUGCCGUAUUACGAGGCACAUUUAUGCUGAGAGGUGCUUACAGCCUGGAGUAUUAACCUGGAGUAUUCACCCGUCAUUUUCAUCAUGUAGCAGUACUGACUUCAAGGAAUUGAAGUGGAUCAGAUCUUCGCAGCUUUCAAGGAACCCAACAACGAGCCAACGGAGCGACCUGAAGAAGUUGCCGACGGUCACCCAGAGGUGGAGAAGUCUACAGAGAUUGGACAGAAUAAUGCGAACACCCGUCUAACAUGUAGAGGACUAUGUUUUGCAUCCAAACCAGCUUGAGCGUUCCUGGAGAUCUCUCCUACAAAUACUGUGUGCCAGUUAGCAGAAUUACAUUCCAUUAUUCACAAAUACACUGUUUCAGGAGAGAUGCAUGAGGAGCAUAAGGAAUCCUCAUAGUUUUUAUCACUGAUCAGAAUUACUAGAUAAGAUACAAAUUAGAUAUUUGUGGAAAGUCUGAAGAACGUUAUUUCACUCUAAUAACCUUCAAAGCAGUCUUGUAAAUUUCCAGUGUGUGACCAGGAGAAUUAUCAUAUUGGAAGAUUCAUAUGUUGCAGUGUACCAUUUAAUCAGCACUUCGAAACAAAAUUGUUGGUUACCUUUCCAGUUACGAUUCAUUUCAAGCUGACCAUCAGACCCGGCGUAAACCAGUAAAACUGCUACACAGCAUUUACGAUGCUACAGUGCUGAAAUGAUACUGUAUGGGCAACAUGCUUUCUCUGUGUUCUCCAUAGCAAGGACAUCUGCGACUGGGGCAGUAUACAGGAAAACACACCGCAGUAUAUCUCCUGUACUAUUACUCAAAGUGACCGAGGGUGGACCACAUGACUCCGGCCUGGUGGUCCCGGGUUCAACCCCGGGUAGGAGCGGGGUUCAUCCUCGUUCCAGGACUGU